ensembl:lncRNA
GCCUAUUCUGUAAAAACCAAAGUGAUCGAUUGCACACAAGUAUCAAGAUAUCAAAUAGCAAGGUCCCAUUGUUGCAAGAGUAUUGGACCUAAUCCCAAAUUGCAGUAGAAUUUUCUUAAUGCUAUAAGCCCGUAAAGCCAGGGAUCAGGGCAACUCAAGGGGUGGGGGUGUAAGGUUUGUCUCUUUAGCUGGCAGGAUUGGAGAAGGUCGGGUAUGUUGUCGGUGCUUAUUAAAACGAUGAUGCAUAAAAUCCCCCAAGUUGUCAGAAAGCAUGAGCACAAGGAGCCGGUAUUCUCUCUUUCCGUCCUUUUAAAAACUCCGUGGUUGAGGACGGGGCUUUGCCAAUUUCACCAAUGAUCAACACCUGCAAAUGCCGUAUAGCGACUAACUUCAAAGCUAGCACAUCUGCAAUACACAGGGGGCAAUCUGCUCUUACAGAAAUACACCCAGUACCGUGCAACAGCUAUAGGCCUCUGCGCGAGAAGACAGCAGCUAAUUUUGAAGUUGAAAUAAAACCAAGCUACUUUCUAUGUUUUAUGAUCGGUGUUGUAAAGGAUUGAGUGACAUUUUUUCUCUCCCGUUUUUUUUGGAUACACCCGUAAACUGAAGCAUUACGCAAUGGUGGAAAUACAAACAGGCCUAUUCAUAGACAUGCACUACAAGUGCUAGAUGGCAUCACGUGACCAGCAGUUUGAGAGGGAUGUGCUGUGAUAGUCUACUGCCAGACACUGUGCUGUAAACACCUGGGACCGGGGACUAUGGUACUGUCUUCAAUAGAUCUAGUCUUCUGGGCUGAAAUAUCACCCAAUGUCCUCACAAUGGAGGCACGAGCAUCAUGCCCUCCUAGGCACGCCAGGCUUUAACCGGGCACUGGGGUGUCAGACAGAACAGGAACCUCCUCGGAGCCAUUGUGAACACCUGCUCUCCGAGAUCGGGCCUCAUUCUCAGAGCGGCCGGGCGGAAGUCCUCGAGACAUCCCGAGGGACCGCCUCCGUGUCCUGAACCCGCACUUCUGUCUGCUCACCUUGGAUACCGCCUCCGCCGUCCCAUGAGUCACACUGCACCCGGGAGCCCUGGUCCAAGUCAACCGGACCCGGAAGGAGGACCCAGGCCCGCUCUGGAGAUAUUAACGGCAGGGCUAAACUGCGGCGGCUGUGGACUUUUAGUAUCUGGAAUUACACAAUGCACUUCAAGCUGAGGCAUUCAUUCGUUCUUUUUUUCUUGAUACUGUCUGUAUUUGUCCAGUCUGAAUCACCUUGUCAGACCUGAACACUCCACAUGUGGGGGAUUAAUACAUUUGUAUUGUAGCGUGCAGGUGGUCGAACAGUCGGGCGGUAUGAAGAGUUUGUUCCUGGGAAGAGAAUACACAUCUUUUAACAGCACAUGCAGCUAAAAUACGGGUAACAGACUAGAAUGGGGUGUUUAUAUUCAAGUGUGAAGCGUAAAAAGGCAAGAGAUCAAACAAUGUAUGGGCCGAAACAGGAAAGACAAUGAAUUGGAAGGAUGAAGAACAUGGAGGCAUACAUAUAGUUUGAGAAGAAAAGCAAGAGAAAACAAAAACAAAACGUCCUACAGGCCUACGAAGGGUAGCCAGGGUAAGACCGUAAAAG